AAUAAUAUAUCAUAGAUUCGUAAGAACAUAAAAAUUUGGUUUUUUCAUAUAAUGUAGACUUGUCAUUAAUAACAACUCAUCAUUUUUAUAUUUGUUUGCAGUGCCACAAGCAACCUCCCGGCUCUGUGUUAUGCGGAUAUUAUGUAUGCGAGUUCAUCAGAAACAAUGGGAGGUACUGGACGAACCCUGAAGACAUUACUCUCUUAUACACUCCCAUGUGCUAAUUUCCUAUUGGUAAUACAUCAUAA
rnacentral:lncRNA from 1 species